UACAGAGGUCUCAAGCGUUGUUCGGGUUCAUUGGGCGUAAAGGGCUCGUAGGCGGCGGGUUAAGUCUGGUGUGAAAUCUCGGAGCUCAACUCCGAAAUUGCACUGGAUACUGCUCUGCUUGAGGGUUGGAGAGGAGAUCGGAAUUCACGGUGUAGCAGUGAAAUGCGUAGAUAUCGUGAGGAAGACCAGUGGCGAAGGCGGAUCUCUGGACAGAUCCUGACGCUGAGGCGCGAAGGCUUGGGGAGCAAACGGG
rnacentral:rRNA from 1 species